AUUCCUUGAGAUAUUUACGACAAUUAUUGUUACAAUCAGAUACCACCAGAUAAGAUCAAAUAUAAAAGAGCUUCGAUGAGUAUUCCAUAAUCAUAGUUUUUGAAAAGCAUCAUCAGAGUGAUCAUCGCUACUAUUCUAACUAAAAAUUUUCAAAAUGAAGAGCAUGCUUAUAAUUGUUGGUAUUAUCUGCUUCCUGGCACUCACAAUCGAUGCAGAUACAAAUAAUGUUAAUGGAUAUCUUCCUACUGAUUGUAAUAACUGCGACGAUUGCAAUUGUGAUGAAGGUACAACCUGUAAUACGAUAGUCAAUGCUGGAAAACAUGUUCCGGCAUGCAUUUUUGAUAACGACAGUCUUUGACAAUUUAAUCUCCUUGUAUCAAAUACAUGAUAAAU